GUGAGGAAUAUUGGUCAAUGGACGAGAGUCUGAACCAGCCAAGUCGCGUGAAGGAAGACGGUUCUAUGAAUUGUAAACUUCUUUUGUGCAGGAAUAAAGUGGGUUACGUGUAACCUUUUGUAUGUACUGUACGAAUAAGGAUCGGCUAACUCCGUGCCCGCAGCCGCGGUAAUACGGAGGAUCCGAGCGUUAUCCGGAUUUAUUGGGUUUAAAGGGUGCGUAGGUGGAUUGAUAAGUCAGCGGUGAAAGUUUGCAGCUUAACUGUAAAAUUGCCGUUGAAACUGUCGGUCUUGAGUGCAAAUGAGGUAGGCGGAAUGUGUUGUGUAGCGGUGAAAUGCUUAGAUAUAACACAGAACUCCGAUUGCGAAGGCAGCUUACUGGGAUGCAACUGACACUGAUGCACGAAAGCGUGGGUAUCAAACAGGAUUAGAUACCCUAGUAGUCC
rnacentral:rRNA from 1 species